ACCGGAAGAACCCAAACCUGAUUCUCCUAAAGAACCCUAAAACAAGAGGCUGCCCCCAAACCAGAAGAACCCAAACCUGAUUCUCCUAAAGAAGCCCCUAAACAAGAGGCUGCUCCCAAACCAGAAGAACCCAAACCUGAGUCCCCAAACAUGAGAUGAGCAGAGCUGGGGUGGGCGACGAGAACGGGAAGAGCAACAUGGAAUCAAAGAAAAGACAUAAYGAAGGCGGAUGAAAAAUGGAGACCUUCUGCAGGACAUUUCUCUGUUUCUAUUUAAACUCGUUAGAACUUGUCCUUCAUGCUACUUUAGAGUGUCUAUUAACUACCAUCUAACAUGAGUGGAUAUUGAAUACUUUUUGUUAACCUUGUCCAUUCCUCUCUUUCAGUAUGACCCUCCCUCAGGGGGUGUUUGUGUGUGAUUUGAACAAAUGUGUAUGUGCCACCAGUAUCGACCAAUCGGAAAGUCCAGAGCCUCUCUCUGUCACUCCUKAUCAUCCUCACUCUGUUACCCCYGUGACGGUAUUWUGCKGMGGUGGCGACCAUAGRAUUGACCAAUCAAAAGUCGUGGAUUAAACUAACUGUUAUUUCUGUUAGUCUGAUUCUGAUGUAAUAAAGCUUAACCCUAAAGGAAAGUUU